UUACGACCACAUCAUGUUGAAACACCAGUCCCCGUACGACCUACAAAAGUUAAGCAACAUCGAGCCUGAUUAGUACCUAGACGGGUGACCGCUUGGGAAUUGCAGGUGCUGUAAG